AGGAGCACUGGAGAUGACGAUGUGGUGAUCAAGAUUCUGUACUGCGGGAUCUGCCACUCUGACCUACACAGCAUCAAGAACGAAUGGAAGAACGCCAGGUACCCCAUGGUCCCUGGGCAUGAGAUCGCCGGCGAGGUCACUAAAGUCGGCAAGAAUGUGACCAAGUUCAAGACCGGCGACCGUGUGGGCGUCGGGUGCAUGGUGAACUCGUGCCAGUCCUGCGAGAGCUGCAACAAGGGCUUCGAGAACCACUGCCCGGGCAUAAUCCCCACCUAUAACUUGGUCGACCUUGAUGGCACCAUCACCUACGGCGGCUACUCCAGCAUUGUAGUGGUGCAUGAGCGGUUCGUUGUCCGGUUCCCCAACACCAUUCCGGACAAGGGCGCGCCGCUGCUGUGUGCCGGCAUCACCAUGUACAGCCCCAUGAAGUACCAUGGGCUGAACGUUCCAGGGAUGCACCUUGGCGUGCUGGGACUGGGCGGGCUGGGCCACGUCGCGGUCAAGUUCGGCAAGGCCUUUGGGAUGAAGGUGACGGUGAUCAGCUCGUCGCCGGGGAAGAAGCAGGAGGCCCUCGAGCGGCUAGGCGCUGACGCCUUCAUUGUCAGCAAGAGUGCCGACGAGAUGAAGGCUGCGAUGAGUAGCAAGGAUGGCAUCAUAAACACCGUGUCUGCAAACAUCCCCAUGGCCCCUCUCUUGAGGCUGCUCAAACCCAACGGCAAGAUGAUCCUGGUUGGUCUCCCAGAGAAGCCUAUGGAGAUCUCUCCCUUUGCUCUGGUUGCCGCGAACAAGACCCUGGCCGGGAGCUGCAUCGGCGGCAUGAGGGACACCCAGGAGAUGCUCGACCUCGCGGCCAAGCACGACGUGACGGCUGACAUCGAGGUGAUCGGUGCCGAGUACGUGAACACGGCCAUGGAGCGCCUUGCCAAGGCCGAUGUCAGGUAUCGAUUCGUCAUCGACAUUGGCAACACCCUCGACAAGGCCGCCGCCGCCGCCGAGUGA
rnacentral:rRNA from 1 species